AUUGAACGCUGGCGGAAUGCUUUACACAUGCAAGUCGAACGGCAGCACGGGAGCUUGCUCCUGGUGGCGAGUGGCGAACGGGUGAGUAAUAUAUCGGAACGUAUCCAAUAAUGGGGGAUAACUAAUCGAAAGGUUGGCUAAUACCGCAUACGCCCUGAGGGGGAAAGCUGGGGAUCUUCGGACCUAGCGUUAAUGGAGCGGCCGAUAUCGGAUUAGCUAGUUGGUGAGGUAAAGGCUCACCAAGGCGACGAUCCGUAGCUGGUCUGAGAGGACGACCAGCCACACUGGAACUGAGACACGGUCCAGACUCCUACGGGAGGCAGCAGUGGGGAAUUUUGGACAAUGGGCGCAAGCCUGAUCCAGCCAUGCCGCGUGAGUGAAGAAGGCCUUCGGGUUGUAAAGCUCUUUCGCAAGGGAAGAAACGAUUUAGGUGAAUAAUCUAAGUUAAUGACGGUACCUUGAUAAGAAGCACCGGCUAACUACGUGCCAGCAGCCGCAGUAAGAC
rnacentral:rRNA from 1 species